CUGAAGAUACAGUGGGAAGAUGGCAGUCUAUGACCAGGAAAAGUUCCUCACCAUAACCCUACCAUGCUGGCACCUUGAUGUUAGACUUGCAAACUCCAGAACUGUGAGAAAUGUCUGUUUUGGAUGAGCCAUCCAAUUUAUGAUCGGCCCUUUUUUCAAAGAAGAGCAGUUGGAACAACAAGAGCUGUUUAGUUGUACCCUUGGAAUCCAUGGAAAUCCUGGGUAGGGAGGCUCCAGUACCACCAACUGGAGAGACUGCGGAUGCCUAGUAGCUAGUACUGGCUGUUGUGUAGGCUUUGUCCACUUUGACAAAUUGAAGACGGGGACUCGACUCACCUUCGCCAGCCACGGGAGGACCUCCAGACGAGGACCAGACUCGCCGCCUUUCUUUCCCGUCAGAAAGGGAUCCCUUGCGGACAGGACCGAAUGGCCCCUAAGGCUUCUCUGCAGACCCAACCGAAACAGGCCUGAAGCUCCAGGAGGGCGAGAGGAUCCUCUUUGAGCGAAACCAGCCUUCUGCCUGGCUGGCCCUGGUCAACACACUGGGAAGAGGCCGAUUUGGCGGACAGAAAGGAAGAAAAUACCUAAAG
rnacentral:lncRNA from 1 species